GCCGAGGUGGUGAAACUGGCAACCACGUAACACUCAAAAUGUUAUGGGCGUAAGCCCUUGAGGGUUCGAGUCCCUCCCUCGGCACAA
rnacentral:tRNA from 3 species